rnacentral:rRNA from 1 species
UAAGCAUAUCAAUAAGCGGAGGAAAAGAAACCAACGGGAAUUGCCUCAGUAACGGCGAGUGAAGCGGCAACAGCUCAAAUUUGAAAUCUGGCCCUCUCAGGGUCCGAGUUGUAAUUUGGAGAAGAUGCUUCGGGUGCGGCGCCGGUCUAAGUUCCUUGGAACAGGACGUCACAGAGGGUGAGAAUCCCGUACGUGCCCGGUGGCCGCCCUAUGUGAAGCUCUUUCGACGAGUCGAGUUGUUUGGGAAUGCAGCUCAAAAUGGGUGGUAAAUUUCAUCUAAAGCUAAAUACUGGCCAGAGACCGAUAGCGCACAAGUAGAGUGAUCGAAAGAUGAAAAGCACUUUGGAAAGAGAGUUAAACAGUACGUGAAAUUGUUGAAAGGGAAGCGCUUGCAACCAGACUUGCGCGCGGUCGAUCAUCCGGUGCUCGCACCGGUGCACUCGGCCGCGCGCAGGCCAGCAUCGGCCUGGGUGGCUGGACAAAGGCCUCGGGAAUGUGGCUCCCUCCGGGGAGUGUUAUAGCCCGAGGCGCAAUGCAGCCCACCUGGACCGAGGACCGCGCUCCGGCUAGGAUGCUGGCGUAAUGGUUGCAAGCGACCCGUCUUGAAACACGGACCAAGGAGUCUAACAUCUAUGCGAGUGUUUGGGUGUCAAACCCAUACGCGUAAUGAAAGUGAACGGAGGUGAGAACCCUGAAGGGCGCAUCAUCGACCGAUCCUGAUGUCUUCGGAUGGAUUUGAGUAAGAGCAUAGCUGUUGGGACCCGAAAGAUGGUGAACUAUGCCUGAAUAGGGUGAAGCCAGAGGAAACUCUGGUGGAGGCUCGCAGCGGUUCUGACGUGCAAAUCGAUCGUCAAAUUUGGGCAUAGGGGCGAAAGACUAAUCGAACCAUCUAGUAGCUGGUUCCUGC